GCCAAAACUAGAGUCACUCUCUAGCAAAGUGUAUGUCCCAGUGAGCUAAAGUUCUCAGAGAGGAUCUGCUGGUCCUGAUGUGCUGACAGGGGCCGCCAAUGCCUGUACUAGUGCUCAGUACAGAGAUGUGC
ensembl:snoRNA